rnacentral:rRNA from 1 species
UGGGGGAAUUUUGGACAAUGGGCGAAAGCCUGAUCCAGCAAUGCCGCGUGUGUGAAGAAGGCCUUCGGGUUGUAAAGCACUUUUGUCCGGAAAGAAAUCCUUGGCUCUAAUACAGUCGGGGGAUGACGGUACCGGAAGAAUAAGCACCGGCUAACUACGUGCCAGCAGCCGCGGUAAUACGUAGGGUGCAAGCGUUAAUCGGAAUUACUGGGCGUAAAGCGUGCGCAGGCGGUUUGCUAAGACCGAUGUGAAAUCCCCGGGCUCAACCUGGGAACUGCAUUGGUGACUGGCAGGCUAGAGUAUGGCAGAGGGGGGUAGAAUUCCACGUGUAGCAGUGAAAUGCGUAGAGAUGUGGAGGAAUACCGAUGGCGAAGGCAGCCCCCUGGGCCAAUACUGACGCUCAUGCACGAAAGCGUGGGGAGCAAACAGGAUUAGAUACCCUGGUAGUCCACGCCCUAAAACGAUGUCAACUAGUUGUUGGGGAUUCAUUUCCUUAGUAACGUAGCUAACGCGUGAAGUUGACCGCCUGGGGAGUACGGUCGCAAGAUUAAAACUUAAUGAAUUGAC